rnacentral:rRNA from 1 species
CCAAUAGCGUAUAUUAAAGUUGUUGCAGUUAAAAAGCUCGUAGUUGAAUUUCGGGGUUAGUAGAUUGGUCAUGCCUCUGGUAUGCACUGGUCUCACUGAUUCCUCCUUCCUGAUGAGCCGUAAUGCCAUUAAUUUGGUGUUGCGGGGAAUUUGGACUGUUACUUUGAAAAAAUUAGAGUGUUUAAAGCAAGCUAACGCUUGAAUACAUUAGCAUGGAAUAAUGAAAUAGGACGUUCGAUCCUAUUUUGUUGGUUUCUAGGAUUGACGUAAUGAUUAAUAGGGAUAGUUGGGGGCAUUAGUAUUCAAUUGUCAGAGGUGAAAUUCUUGGAUUUAUUGAAGACUAACUACUGCGAAAGCAUUUGCCAAGGAUGUUUUCAUUAAUCAAGAACGAAAGUUAGGGGAUCGAAGACGAUCAGAUACCGUCGUAGUCUUAACCAUAAACUAUGCCGACGAGGGAUCGGAUGAUGUUAAUUUUUUAAUGACUCAUUCGGCGCCUUACG